ACUGCUCAGUAACACGUGGAUAACCUGCCCAAGGGUCUGGGAUAACCCCGGGAAACUGGGGAUAAUACCGGAUGGAUCACUAGUGCUGGAAUGCUUGGUGGUUUAAAGGCAACGCCUUUGGAUGGGUCUGCGGCGGAUUAGGUUGACGCCGGUGUAACGUACCGGCGUGCCUGUAAUCCGUACGGGUUGUGGGAGCAAGAGCCCGGAGAUGGAUUCUGAGACACGAAUCCAGGCCCUACGGGGCGCAGCAGGCGCGAAAACUCUACAAUGCAGGCAACUGCGAUAGGGGGACAUCGAGUGGCAUCCACCUUGGGUGCCUGUCCAACCGUCUAAAAAACGGUUGUUAGCAAGGGCCGGGUAAGACCGGUGCCAGCCGCCGCGGUAAUACCGGCGGCUCGAGUGGUGGCCGAUAUUAUUGAGUCUAAAGGGUCCGUAGCCGGCUUUGCAAGUCCCCUGGGAAAUCCAGCGGCUUAACCGUUGGGCUUUCAUGGGAUACUACAUUGCUUGGGACUGGGAGAGGUAGGAGGUACUCGGGGGGUAGGGGUGAAAUCCUGUAAUCCUCCGGGGACCACCGGUGGCGAAGGCGUCCUACCAGAACAGGUCCGACGGUGAGGGACGAAAGCUAGGGGCACGAACCGGAUUAGAUACCCGGGUAGUCCUAGCCGUAAACGAUGCCCGCUAGGUGUCACGACGGUCGUGAAUCGUCGUGGUGCCGUAGGGAAGCCGCGAAGCGGGCCACUUGGGAAGUACGGCCGCAAGGCUGAAACUUAAAGGAAUUGGCGGGGGAGCAC
rnacentral:rRNA from 1 species